CAGAGAGUAGUUUAAACAAAAAUUUUAAUUUUGGAGAUUAAAGAUAAAAUGAAUAUUUUUUCUCUGA
rnacentral:tRNA from 1 species